rnacentral:rRNA from 1 species
CCUACGGGAGACAGCAGUGGGGAAUAUUGCGCAAUGGGCGAAAGCCUGACGCAGCGACGCCGCGUGAGGGAUGAAGGUCUUCGGAUCGUAAACCUCUGUCAGCAGGGAAGAACGGUCACAGUGCUAAUCAGCAGUGAAUUGACGGUACCUGGUAAGAAAGCACCGGCUAACUCCGUGCCAGCAGCCGCGGUAAUACGGAGGGUGCGAGCGUUAUUCGGAAUUACUGGGCGUAAAGCGCUCGUAGGCGGUAUGUCAAGUCAAGGGUGAAAUCCCCGGGCUCAACGUGGGAACUGCCUUGGAAACUGGCAAACUAGAGUGUGUGAGAGGAUAGUGGAAUUCCAGGUGUAGGAGUGAAAUCCGUAGAUAUCUGGAGGAACAUCAGUGUCGAAGGCGACUAUCUGGCACAUAACUGACGCUGAGGAGCGAAAGCGUGGGGAGCAAACAGGAUUAGAUACCCCAGUAGUC